CAAAUGUCAGUGAACAGAAGGAGUAGCUAAGGGAGUUUAGUUUAAGCGAAUCUGGAAUGGUGAAAGCCAGGUACUGUAGUCUUUAGUGAAUGGGUCUGUGAGAUGUAGUGUGAAUUAAAAGUAGCGCUUACCGGGGGUCUACCGUUAAAAGGACAGGGUAUCGAUUUAUUUCCGUACCUGGUUAAAGAUAAUUUUAUUUAGGUGGCAUAGCGAAGUAUAACAUUUCGUCCUUUAU
rfam:Clostridium tetanomorphum DSM 665 contig19, whole genome shotgun sequence.